rnacentral:rRNA from 1 species
GGACGAGAAGCUUGCUUCUCUGAUGUUAGCGGCGGACGGGUGAGUAACACGUGGAUAACCUACCUAUAAGACUGGGAUAACUUCGGGAAACCGGAGCUAAUACCGGAUAAUAUUUUGAACCGCAUGGUUCAAAAGUGAAAGACGGUCUUGCUGUCACUUAUAGAUGGAUCCGCGCUGCAUUAGCUAGUUGGUAAGGUAACGGCUUACCAAGGCAACGAUGCAUAGCCGACCUGAGAGGGUGAUCGGCCACACUGGAACUGAGACACGGUCCAGACUCCUACGGGAGGCAGCAGUAGGGAAUCUUCCGCAAUGGGCGAAAGCCUGACGGAGCAACGCCGCGUGAGUGAUGAAGGUCUUCGGAUCGUAAAACUCUGUUAUUAGGGAAGAACAUAUGUGUAAGUAACUGUGCACAUCUUGACGGUACCUAAUCAGAAAGCCACGGCUAACUACGUGCCAGCAGCCGCGGUAAUACGUAGGUGGCAAGCGUUAUCCGGAAUUAUUGGGCGUAAAGCGCGCGUAGGCGGUUUUUUAAGUCUGAUGUGAAAGCCCACGGCUCAACCGUGGAGGGUCAUUGGAAACUGGAAAACUUGAGUGCAGAAGAGGAAAGUGGAAUUCCAUGUGUAGCGGUGAAAUGCGCAG